rnacentral:lncRNA from 1 species
UUCAUACGACCAUGCAAAAAUAUCCGGAUAUUCCCGGAGGAGUUGGAUGAUCUUCUUUUUAACCCCUUCCUCUAGAGCAGCACCGAUCUUGAUUUCUCACUUGUUCUCCUCGGUACCUAUGUUGAUAAGCUCAAUCUCUUCUUGGUGAGGCUGAAUGACUUUCUUUUCUUGCUCAAGUAACCGAGUGAUCUCAUAUGGUAUGUCAUCACCUUCCUCAUCUUCGGCCUCAUAUACUGGGAACUCAAAAUUCGGAGG